GACGAACGCUGGCGGCGUGCCUAAUACAUGCAAGUCGAGCGCAGGAAACUGACGGAACUCUUCGGAGGGAAGGCAGUGGAAUGAGCGGCGGACGGGUGAGUAACACGUAAGGAACCUGCCUCAAGGAUUGGGAUAACUCCGAGAAAUCGGAGCUAAUACCGGAUAGUUCAACGGACCGCAUGGUCCGCUGAUGAAAGGCGCCCCGGCGUCACCUUGAGAUGGCCUUGCGGUGCAUUAGCUAGUUGGUGGGGUAACGGCCCACCAAGGCGACGAUGCAUAGCCGACCUGAGAGGGUGAUCGGCCACACUGGGAGUGAGACACGGCCCAGAGUCCUACGGGAGGCAGCAGUAGGGAAUCUUCCACAAUGGACGAAAGUCUGAUGGAGCAACGCCGCGUGGGUGAUGAAGGUUUUCGGAUCGUAAAACUCUGUUGUAAGGGAAGAACACGUACGAGAGGAAAUGCUCGUACCUUGACGGUACCUUACGAGAAAGCCUCGGCUAACUACGUGCCAGCAGCCGCCGUAAUAC
rnacentral:rRNA from 1 species